UACGUAGGGGGCAAGCGUUGUCCGGAAUCAUUGGGCGUAAAGAGCGUGUAGGCGGCCUGAUAAGUCGGUUGUGAAAGUCAAGGGCUCAACCCUUGAAUGCCGGCCGAUACUGUCAGGCUAGAGUCCGGAAGAGGCGAGUGGAAUUCCUGGUGUAGCGGUGAAAUGCGCAGAUAUCAGGAGGAACACCGAUGGCGAAGGCAGCUCGCUGGGACGGUACUGACGCUGAGGCGCGAAAGCGUGGGGAGCAAACAGG
rnacentral:rRNA from 1 species